UACGUAGGGUGCAAGCGUUGUCCGGAAUUAUUGGGCGUAAAGAGCUCGUAGGCGGUUUGUCGCGUCUGCUGUGAAAACCCGAGGCUCAACCUCGGGCCUGCAGUGGGUACGGGCAGACUAGAGUGCGGUAGGGGAGAUUGGAAUUCCUGGUGUAGCGGUGGAAUGCGCAGAUAUCAGGAGGAACACCAAUGGCGAAGGCAGAUCUCUGGGCCGUAACUGACGCUGAGGAGCUAAAGCAUGGGGAGCGAACAGG
rnacentral:rRNA from 1 species